rnacentral:rRNA from 1 species
AUUGAACGCUGGCGGCAGGCUUAACACAUGCAAGUCGAGCGGAGAUGAGGUGCUUGCACCUUAUCUUAGCGGCGGACGGGUGAGUAAUGCUUAGGAAUCUGCCUAUUAGUGGGGGACAACAUUCCGAAAGGAAUGCUAAUACCGCAUACGUCCUACGGGAGAAAGCAGGGGAUCUUCGGACCUUGCGCUAAUAGAUGAGCCUAAGGCGGAUUAGCUAGUUGGUGGGGUAAAGGCCUACCAAGGCGACGAUCUGUAGCGGGUCUGAGAGGAUGAUCCGCCACACUGGGACUGCGAAACGGCCCAGACUCCUACGGGAGGCAGCAGUGGGGAAUAUUGGACAAUGGGCGGAAGCCUGAUCCAGCCAUGCCGCGUGUGUGAAGAAGGCCUUUUGGUUGUAAAGCACUUUAAGCGAGGAGGAGGCUACCUAGAUUAAUACUCUGGGAUAGUGGACGUUACUCGCAGAAUAAGCACCGGCUAACUCUGUGCCAGCAGCCGCGGUAAUAC